UAGGAAAGUCGGGGCUUGGAUCCCCUCCCCGAGCUCAGGGUAAUUUUUGAAAUGGAGGGGAC
rnacentral:ncRNA from 1 species